CCUCGGGAGGCAGCAGUGGGGAAUACUGCACAAUGGGGGAAACCCUGAUGCAGCGACGCCGCGUGAGCGAUGAAGUAUUUCGGUAUGUAAAGCUCUAUCAGCAGGGAAGAAGGUGACGGUACCUGACUAAGAAGCCCCGGCGAAUUACGUGCCAGCAGCCGACGUAAUACGUAGGGGGCAAGCGUUAUCCGGAUUUACUGGGUGGAAGGGGAGCGUAGACGGCGGUGCAAGCCAGAUGUGAAAGCCCGGGGCUCAACCCCGGGACUGCAUUUGGAACUGUGUGGCUGGAGUGUCGGAGAGGCAGGCGGAAUUCCUAGUGUAGCGGUGAAAUGCGUAGAUAUUAGGAGGAACACCAGUGGCGAAGGCGGCCUGCUGGACGAUGACUGACGUUGAGGCUCGAAAGCGUGGGGAGCAAACAGGAUUAGAUACCCCAGUAGUC
rnacentral:rRNA from 1 species